UAGAUUCUUUGCGCCCUUUUUAAUUGACUCGGCCAAAUUUUCAAUUUUUCACUUCCCACCAUUGGGCCAAAACCUGAGCUCGCGCUUCUCUCUCUCAAAAUCACUCUUCUUCUCCCCGAUCUCACCAGUCAUCUAUCUCUCCCACUCUCCCUCUCAGCUUUCUCUCUUUUGCACUCAACAAAACCACCUCCCUCUCCAUUCGACCAAAACACCCGAGCUCCCGCCUCUCUUUCUCAAAAUCACAUCUGCCCUCAGUCCUCAGCCUUCCUCUCUCUCUCUCUCUGAGAACCUCUCUCUGCUGCCUGUUUGAUCGUACUUUCAUCUCUCUAUCCCACCGCAGUGACCGCUAGUCGACUACCACCGCAGUGUUUUCCAGUCGACCACUACCGCUUCGAUCUCUGCUGCUUCCAUCAGCUCUCUGCUACUUCGAUUCGCAGAGCCCUCUACUGCUUUGGGACUUUGAUUCCCGGAGUUUCGAGCAAUAGCCAGUUCAUCUUUUUGGUGAGUUCACUCUUCAUAGUACAACACAGAGCAACCCUUCAGUCCAAAAAUUUAAUGAACCCCAAAGAUAGCUGUGUGUGCAUGUAAUUGUUUCAGGCUAACUAAAGGACUCACUCGCACUCACUCAUAUGGCUCCUCCUCCAGGGAUUGUUGUUACCCUUUUGCUUCUUCUUGCUCUGCAAAGUUAUGGGUUCGUUCUUUCUUUUGCUUCCACAAAUGUUUACAUUGUCUAUAUUGGAGAAAGAAAGUAUGGAAACCCCGAGCUGGCAUCUGAGCCUCACCAUGAGAUUCUGUCAUAUGUAUUUGGAAGGUUAGCUCUAAUGCGUAAUUAUGGGUGGUUCCUCAUUCUAACUCAACAACAGUUAAAUGGUCGAAUUUGGAAAACCAGCUCCUAUCGGUGUGCCCGUCAUGUUCUGUUCCGUAUUACUUCUACCCUCAGACUACAUGUUCCUCGCCCCCUGCAGUUUAUCUAUUGAAGUUUAUUUGCUCUUACCGUAAUGGAUUGUUGCAUGAUGUCACUGAAAUUAUGUCUGAUCUUGAGCUUUCGAUUCAAAGGGUGAAAGUGACAACAACACCAGAUGACAGGGUCUUGGACCUGUUCUUCAUAACAGAUAACAUGUGAGUUUUGCUUUGGUAUUCGUUUUCUGUUUUUAUAUAUGAAAGUUUUCAUAAAUUCUGUAUGAUAAUUUGCUUGUUUUCUCACAUUUACAUGGUUUCUAGAUGGAAAAUUGGCUAGACAUCAUAGGUUAGUCGCGUAGAUACUUAGCUUGUCUAUAUGUAACAAUAUGGGACACAGUUUCUAAUUUUACCCAUUUUCCUCUUUCUCUCUGAGCUGAUAUUAAUUCCUAACUUGUAACUUUCCACUUUUCUCCACUGACUAAAUUUUUUCCUGACCAAUUGUUAAAGGAUAAAAUAUCAUUAUGCUCAGAGACUAGGAAUAUAACUGGGAUCUAGUCAAAAUUAUUGUCUUUGAUUUGGUAUUCUUGGUAGUGUAAUAAGUCAGUUAAUGUAAAAUCUUGAUGCUAUUGCAUAUAAAGAUUCAUAUGGGCUCAAUUCUCAAUUAUGGUUUUCUUACCUUGGUUUGGAUUUCUGGGUAAGGUUGGGUUCAGUGACUUCAUUCGAUACUUCCAGUCUUCCAUUUCUGGGUUCGAAUGCAGUUUUUCCAGUUUUGUUCAUACUUCAUAGUUGUUAAUUUGUUAUUACUAUCUCAUCUCUGUGUGUGUGUAAUUACUGAUAUGAUCACCAAUAAUUGAAUCAGUCUCAUAGUCAUAGCCAUGGUGGAUGGUUUCUACUUUCUAAGGGUUUAUAUCUUCAACUAGAGUAUAAACCCAGUAGUAGUAGGCUGAUCACUGAUUUGUUUUCUUGGCCUUUCUGUUGUGACUUAAUAUUAGUAUAGUAAUGAUGGAAUGUUGUCAAUUGUCUCUCUUUUUCUUUCUUAAACACAAAAUAUGCAAGUAGGGAUCCACAACACAUGUUCUGGGGAGGAAGGACGCAGAGGAAAGCCCAAAUUUUGUCCUUUCAGACUGUCCAAUGUAUGUCCGAAUGAACUUGUGAUUAAUAAAGUACUCUAAGUGUGUUGUCAUGUUUCUUCUUCUCUGUUGCAUAUUGCAUACUUCUCUUGCUCUUGUGUUUCUGUUUGAUUAGUGCCUUAAGAUUGGUUGUUAGUGCAAUUUUUAUUAGUAUUUCUUGCUUCACGUACUUUGUAUUGUACCAUAUGACAUGUCAAAAGGGAUAUUCUAUGUAACAUUUAACUUCUUCAAAAGUCAAACUGAAAUCGGCUUCUCGUCAACCAGGAGAAAAGUAAAACUUAUUGAUGAAAUCAUAUAAUUUCUAUAUACAUUGUUAUUGUAUAUGUAUAUAGAGUAUUCCUGAAGAAGUAAAAAAAGCAUGAAUAGGAUGACAAAACAAUGAGAUCAUUUAUGCUCAAUAAAGAAGUAUUCCUGAAAAGAGACUCCGAUAGACUGGGCAUUGUUUCAGUAAGAAAUUUUAGACAGCGCGAAACAUGCUCUCCAUACUGCUUGAGGUUCAUAGUUUCAUAUGCCUUUUCAUUUGUUAAAUCUAGGAUGCUUUGUACAUUAGUAUACCUGGCCAUCUUUUGGGAAAUUCUUUUAUUCUGAGCUACACUGUCUUUAAAAAUUAUUACACCUUCAUGAUCAUUUUAUAAAGCUAUUAGCCAUUUCAUACUUAUGCUUUCUGUGAGAUAGUUGUGUUGUUGCAGUUUCUUGUGAUGUAGUAGGCAUUAUUCUUGCUGUGAAUUUCUUUUUUUCUUCAGCCUUGAUUUGAAUUUUUCCAUUUCACUUUCAGGAUGAAUCAGUUCUGAUAUGGUACUCAGGCAAAGAUGAGAAAUAUGUUAAACUAAGCCAUGUCUCUAGAAUUAUACAUGGCCAACGCACUAUAAGUUCUUCAUGCUGAGAUCUCUUGCACCUUUUUCAAAUGGUGAACAUGUCCCCUAGUAUUUGAUAGCUUUGCAAAUGAUAGUUGUAGAUCUGUGGCAUUUGAUUUCAAAUGCAACUUUUAGCUUAAUGUACAAUAAGAACAAAUAAGAACAGUUAGUAGCAUGGCCAUCGCAUGAUUAAAUGUAUUUUCUGAAUGAGUGAGCUUCAAUGUUGCUUUAGUAUGAUUUAUGCUUGGGUUAACAUGUGAAGGAGGAGAUAACGUGUACAUGUUAUUUUAAUCAAAGUAAAACGUACGUUAGUCAUAAACUAAGUGCCGUAUACAAUUGAUCCUAAUUGCUCAAAAGAAGGGGAAAAAGCUCAAGAGUUCUAUACCAUAAUUGAUUAUUUCGCGUACUGAAUGUAUUGUAACCAGGCAACCUGGAAAGGAGGAAAGGUUUAUACAAUUUUGGGCAUAUUUCUUUGCUUACCCUUACUGUGUAGGAAGUUUAAAUAUUUUAGCUAAUGUGAGGCAUAGUUAUGAGUUUAUUUAUUAUUUUUUUGCUUACUUGCAUGCUUGCAUAAGUUCCUUUUUGUAGAUGGUUGCCUGCAUGGCCUAUCAUAUAGGGUCAUAUGAUUGGCUGCUAUUUAUAUUUUCAUACAUGGUGGGAAUGAGGAAAAGGUGCAUUGCACCAUGGCUUCAGUGGUAAAAGGGUGGGGUAGCUGGUGUUGUCAUUUCCUAAGCUUAGAUUAGAAUUUUGGUAACUUGCAAUUAUAAUGUUUUAGUUGUAUGCAAUUCUGAAUAUACCUAUUCAAUGUGUUUGAGUUUUUACGUUAACUACAUUGGUCUUUUUAGGUGUUUGAUCUUGCAAGGAAAGUGAUAUUUGAUUCUUUGUAAUAACAUAUGCCCAGUAUGUUUAAUGUUUGGGUUGGUGCUCCUUGUUUUAAACAGUGUAGAAAGAGAUCCCCACUAAAUCAAGUUCUAUGGUGCUUUUUUUAUAUUGAUUUUUUUUUCAACACAAUUACUAGAUUGGAAAACAUCUGGAGUUUGUUCUAAUUGAUGUUCUCUGUUCAUUCUUCAAAACAGGCCAUCACUGCUCUAAAAAAGGGGUCACAAUUACUGAAUUCCAUCAUUAACUAUUCCUUGGUGUAAUGACAGGAUGAACUCUCAUCAAGCAAAGUUGCAGGAGAACGUGAUGAUGCUAAGACUAUUGAAACUGAUGCUAUUCCUGCUCUUGAGAAACUUCAGAAGUUACAAGACGGCUGCCAGUGGAUUCUCUGCUAAGCUCACUCAACAGCGAAAGUAAAGGUUGUUGUUGAUGCGAAAGUAAAGGUUGUUGUUGAUGCAACUUCUGCUGGCAUCUUCAUUGGCAUCAUAAAGUGUGUUCUUCAAGACUUGGUUGGUUUCAACAUUUUACUAAAUUUUGUUAGAAAACUAGUUCUGUUGAUGUAAUGACUUUGUUGGAUAUACACUACACCAAAAAUUGCAUCACACGACGGUGAAAAAACGUCGUCUGAUUUGAAGACUCACCGUCGUCUAUCUCGAUGUUGUCUGAUGAAAAAUCAGACGACGGUGAAUUCACCGUUGUACAAUAUAAAGUCAGUCGACGUAUAUUCCUUAACACCGUUGUCCCAGAACUCGACAGAUGCCGGACUCAUCCAUGCGCAGCAGUUCACACAACAGAAUUUGCUUUUUUGCCGUUGUGGGUUGAGAUUUUCAUACAACGGUUUUGUAGUUUAGCUGUUGUGUGAUUUAAAGUAAGACAACUGUGUUCUAGUAUUUUCUGUUGUAUGAGCUUAAAACUAGACGACGUAACUUAUUGAAAUCCAUUGUGUGAUAUAUAUAAUUGCGUUGUGUGAAUACUCAAAUUUUGAAUGGAUAUAAAUUAAUAGUGAACAA